rnacentral:lncRNA from 1 species
CACACACACUCUCUGAGCAUAAGCUGCUAGCCAGACUCCCUCUCCCCAUUUUCUGCCAACAUUUCAGAUACUUCCUUGAGGUCUGUUCUCAGAGCUCCUGACAAUUUGUGGUGUUUAGUGACAGAACUGUUACUUUCACAUUUCUUGCUGUUUUAAUGAGACUAUCUGUAGCUAAGAAAAGUGACAUGGUGGCUGGUCCCCUCCCUGGCUCACUGCUGGUCAGCAUUGCCCUUGCUACUUCCAGCCUGCCCUGAAUAUUCCCAUCUCUGCCCAAUAGCGACUACCGAUUUUCUCAAGAUUUGGAGGAUAUGAAAUUUACUCAUCUUAGAAGAGAACUGGACAUCGUAAACCAAAAAAGGUGGAGAUAUUUUAAACAGUCAACAUUUAACCCAAAGGAAUACAUCUUUAAUGGUAAAAUUUUGAACUGUGAUAUGGUUUGGCCCUGUGUCCCUACCCAAAUCCCAUGUUGAAGCGUGAUCAUGAGUGUUGGAGCCAUGUAGGGCAUGCCUCCUUCUUCUUUGCCUUCUGCCAUGAUAGUAAGUUUCCUGAAGACUCCCAGCCAUGCCUCCUGUACAGCCUGGGGAACUGUGAGUCAAUUAAACCUCUUUUCUUUACAAAUUACCCAGUUUUAGGCAGUUCUUUAUAGCAAUGCAAUAACUAAUACAGACUGGGUAUAGAAGUUAUUUUAGAGGGUGGAUUCUCCUCUGCAUUAUCAAAUUACAUCACAUAAAAUUUGCCUAUAUGUGUUUACUUUUAUCACAAAUACUAAAAUUAACACUUUGCCCUUUUAUAUGGUAUAAUGGUAACCCAUCAGACAGAACCCAGUAUGAAGCUCAGCUUUACCCUCUUCCAGGCUAUGGCAAAUCAUUGAACUGAUCUGAGCCUCAGUUUCCUAGUCUGUAAAAUGAGGGGAAAAAAAACUCCCACCAGAUGAAUUAUAGAUCUAAAUGUUUUAAUGUCCUUCAAAUAAAUUCAAUGGCUCACUCAUAAUGGGUACUCCAUAAAUGUUAAUUCUCUUCCCCUGAUUCUCCUUUUUCCAGGUGCAAUAAGCACAAUGAUCAGUCAUUUCUGAGCCAGCUCCUUUACUUGAUAUCACUCCAUUGUAGGUUGUCUUUUCCAAUGUACCCCAGGUUAUUUUCCCCUACUAACAGAAGGUCAUUACAUUAACUAAAUACUUUCUUUUGCUUGUCAAUGACAUCUUACUUUAAAUCCAAGCUCUCCCUACUUCACAGAGCUUCCAGUAAAACAGAUGAGAGGAAAUCAUAGUCCUCUGAUCACAGGGCCACCAUUUCAGCAGGUACCAGCUAUUCUUAAUGAAAAUAGUACCAAGACAACACACAGAAGAAAAAACAUUUAUGAGAAACUCUAAAAUGCACGAGAGGUAUUAAGGGGAAAGUGAGUUAUAAUCAUGCUGUUGGAUUCUUUUUCCAUUUUAUUUCUUCUGAGAGUGGAGUUCAUUUUCCUGACUCCCAAUACAAUGACACCAUAUUAGACACAUAUUUUUAGAAAAGGUAUAUUAUUGUUGACCUAUUAUAUGUGCUGCUCGUAAUCAUCCAAGUAAUGCCUGGGUGAUGGGCCUAACACAACAGGGAGGCAAUGGCUAGACAAAGAGCUACUCCCUGAAACGUGCAGAAAAUAGUCAAACAAGGAGAUUAUCCAAAGUUCCAUCGCUGUGUACAAUACUUAUCUUCUUGAGUCAGGAAGAAGGGGACAGACAGUCUUCAGUUUAUUUCUCACUGAACUGAUCCUUUGUUUCCCUCCCCCCACCACCUACAGAAUCUAAAUUAGAGUGAUUUCCUCCCGCAGAAAAGUCAGGCCAUCCAUCCUGACAUAUGCAGAUUUGAAGAUGAUGUGGGAGAGGAAAGAAAGGGCGAGGAAAUUUAUGUUCUAUCCUCAGAAGCUGACUCACGGACCAAGCAGGUAGAACUAAGGGGUCUUUCCACAGCAAACCUGAGAAAUACUGACAUAAAAAUAUCUCUGGACUGGACCCAAGAUUCAGAAGAACUGCAUUCAAGCCCCAGCUUCACCAAAAUACCAUGUGAGACUGAGUUUACUGUGUCUAUUGAUUGUUCAUUCAUCUAAUAAACAUUUUUAACCAUUUACUUUGUGCUAGAUCCUGUGAGAUAGGGAUGUUUCUCAUCUGUAAAAUGAGGAUAGUAAUACUAGCAUACAAAAUUAUUAAGGUCAAAUAAGAUACUAAACCCAAAAUCAUUUCAUAACUAUAGUUCUGUGCAAAUAUAAGAUACUUUCAGACUUUAGGCACGUUAUUGAUUAAAAAGAAUUUUCUGUGUUAACCUUUGAACUUAAUCAUUAUUUAUAGCAUUGUUUCCAUGCAGGACACACUAUGUUAGAGCACUGGGAAACACAUCUGCUUCUCCUAGUGUCUUCCUCUAGCCACUCUGCCUCAUCUCCUAUAGAACCUACGGUGUUGGCCAGCCAAGGAUAAAAUGAAGCCACAUCACAAAUAACUUUCCCUUUCCCAUUUAAGACCCAACAGUCACUGAUCAACUUUUAGAAUAAAAAAGAGAAUAAAUUGGUUUCAAAGACCCUUCUGAUACUCUAGGACCCCAUGAUAAAUCCAAUACUCUUAAUGUAUCACAAACAAAGUCUUCGAGUAUAAUAGACAUGAAUGUGUCAGUGACUGAAAGUCACUACAUGAGGAACUCUGAAGAAGAAAGAAGCUUAAAGAGAUAGAAACAGAUAUUUUCCACAAGUGUGCCAUUGCCUUCUGGAGCUAAGGCAGCCCUGAGUUCUGCAGGGAGUUCUACCACUGGCUACUCAUGCCCACAUCUCAGGACAAUGCAAAGUGUACAGUCUUCCUAAAGGAGCUCAGCCUUUGGGGCCACCAUGCCAAAGAAAAGCCAUUCUGCAAUAGGAAUAAAAAGGGGAUAAAGUGGCAGAAGGAAAGCAACCUCUAACCGAAGAAAGGAGUAGUUUUCAUCUCAAAGAAAGCUCUUUCAGAAACUGGAGGCAAGAGCCACACUGGAAAUUACUAUUGUAAAGGAUGGAAAUGCUGCCAAGGUAUCUGGUUGAAACCUGCCAUUCAAAAGGGUUGAAUGCAAAUAAUAUUCCUUCAGGCCAAGUAAAGUCACAGAGACUUUUAAUUUUUUUUCUUUUUGGCUUUUAAGCCUUAGAAGAGUUAUAGGCUACUUGAAAAAUAAUUUUGUCAAAAUCAUCUAGAAGCAAAGGAAUCAGUGUCAUGGUUUAUAAGCUUAUUCACAAGAGAAUGAAGAAUCUACCUCCUGACCACAUCUGCACGUGGCCAUAAAAAUAAGCUAUUUUUUUCAAAUGAACACACAUGUACUAAGUGCUCCAUGUUUGAAAUGCUGGAAAGGUGCUCAGGGUACUGAAAUGAGGAUGGAUAACCCCCGAGUUCUGUUUGCUUACUAUCUAUUUGGAAAAUAAAUGCCUACACAGACUCCCUUUAGCAAAGCCUACAGAAAGAGCUUUGCAGAAGGGACUCUACGUCAAGAGGUACCAAACCAUGCUGUGAAAAUACAGGGGGAAACAGAGAUUAAUUCUGCAAAAAGAUCUGAGAGAGCAAACUGAAGGAGAAAUAUUUAAAGAUAAUAACAUGAAAGUAUAAUAUAAGUAGGCAUAAUUUGCAGAGGUUAGUAAUUUGGUAAAUAAAGCAGGAAUAAUGGGUCAAAAUGGCCAGCCACAAAGAGCAAAGAAAGAGGUAAGAAAAUUUAAUCAACAAAAUAUGCUUAUACCAAUUUUUGCACCAUCCUUAUUUUGUAUCUUCCCAGUUUCCCUUAGUUUACCCAGCUAAGUUUGAUGACAGGAGUUCAGCAGAUGCUAUUGGUUACUUCAACAUCCAUUGUUUUUCUUCUACUUUUGUUCAAGUGGCUACUCUGUAUACGGCCUUUGACUUUAAGACAGACUAACCCACAAGGGUGAAUCCUCGGGGGCCAUGCCUAUCAUGGUACCCUUAAACCUCUUCCUGCCAGUGGUUUGUUUGGGAAUGAACAUGCAAAAAAAUUUUGGCCAUUGAUGCUGGAAGACUUUGAGGAAAGAUUUCCUUGAUUUCAAAAGUGAACCCAAGGGAAAGACCCGGGUUUUUUUGUUUUCUUACUUCUCUCUCAGGAUAUUUUCCUGUCUAGAUGUGGUGCCUGGAGCUGCUGGUACCAUGUUAGGAUGAUAGAGUGGGAAAAUGGAAAAAGGUUGAUUCCUAAUGACUACACCACUGAACCAACCAGCCCCGAAACCCCUACUUCUCCACUUCAUGCAUGUGAGAAAAUAAAUGUCCUCACUACUUUAACCAGCUGUUUCAGGUUUCUGUUACUUGUGCUGAGGGAAUCCUAACUGACACCAGGAGAUACCAUAUCUUCGUUCCGCUCUGGCUGGGAAACAGACACACACAUGGAUCCUAGGAGAUGGUUCAUUGCCAUUGAGUAGUGCAUGAAGAAAAAUGUAGUAAAGCUUCCUAUAAAACUCCUCACUGAAGCUCAGAUUUGAUUCUGAUUAGAGGCCCCUCCACUCAUCUCUGUG